AUUGAACGCUGGCGGCAGGCCUAACACAUGCAAGUCGGGCGGAUGAAGGGAGCUUGCUCCUGGAUUCAGCGGCGGACGGGUGAGUAAUGCCUAGGAAUCUGCCUGGUAGUGGGGGAUAACGUCCGGAAACGGGCGCUAAUACCGCAUACGUCCUGAGGCAGAAAGUGGGGGAUCUUCGGACCUCACGCUCUCAGAUGAGCCUAGGUCGGAUUAGCUAGUUGGUGGGGUAAAGGCCUACCAAGGCGACGAUCCGUAACUGGUCUGAGAGGAUGAUCAGUCACACUGGAACUGAGACACGGUCCAGACUCCUACGGGAGGCAGCAGUGGGGAAUAUUGGACAAUGGGCGAAAGCCUGAUCCAGCCAUGCCGCGUGUGUGAAGAAGGUCUUCGGAUUGUAAAGCACUUUAAGUUGGGAGGAAGGGCAGUAAGUUAAUACCUUGCUGUUUUGACGGUACCAACAGAAUAAGCACCGGCUAACUUCGUG
rnacentral:rRNA from 1 species